rnacentral:rRNA from 1 species
ACGGUGUCUUCGGACACAGUGGCGGACGGGUGAGUAACGCGUGAGAAUCUGCCUUCAGGACGGAGACAACAGUUGGAAACGACUGCUAAGCCCCGAUGAACCGAAAGGGAAAAUAUUUAUAGCCUGAAGAUGAGCUCGCGUCCGAUUAGCUAGUUGGCGGAGUAAAAGCCCACCAAGGCGACGAUCGGUAGCUGGUCUGAGAGGACGAUCAGCCACACUGGGACUGAGACACGGCCCAGACUCCUACGGGAGGCAGCAGUGGGGAAUUUUCCGCAAUGGGCGAAAGCCUGACGGAGCAAGACCGCGUGGGGGAAGAAGGCUCUUGGGUUGUAAACCCCUUUUCUCUGGGAAGAAAGUUGUGAAAGCAACCUGACGGUACCAGAGGAAUCAGCAUCGGCUAACUCCGUGCCAGCAGCCGCGGUAAUAC